UCGUCAAAUGUGGUUGUAGAGCACCAUGAGUUACAAAGAAAGUUUCAUAUUUAAGAUUCCCGUUUUAUUUAAUUUUUUGAUUGGUGGAAAUAGAAUAUUUGGGCUGAAAUCACUGUUCCUUCUGGAACAUCAGAAACUGUAUUGUGACAUUUCAAGGCAACUUCAGCAAUGGAAAUUAAACCAAAGAUGAUUGGCUUCACAAAUUUGAAGAGGGAACUGUGCUUACAUUUUGAUGUUGGAUGAACGGAUUAUUUCAGAGUGCGAUUAGUUGUAACUGGAUAGCUCUCAAUUAGGCCAUUAAGGGAAUCGUUAUGAUGUGUAAGCAGUUUAUGAAUAUUCUUCACUUUCAGAAGAAUUCACAGACAAGAACCGAUGAGAUUGUGGGCCUGUAAUGCAUAAUGAAACACCAACAUGGAUAUACAGUUCUAAAUGCAGUAUGUGGUAGUAUAUUAAGGAUGCUGAUGAGUCACUUGGAAUGUAAUUUCCUUUUUCAUUGAUGUAAAUAUUUUAUCUCUUGGAACUACUACAUAUUUUGUCAUGUAAAAGAUAGAAAUAAAGGUACAUGAAUUUGUUUGGAA